rnacentral:rRNA from 1 species
AACGAACGCUGGCGGCAUGCCUAACACAUGCAAGUCGAACGAUCCCUUCGGGGAUAGUGGCGCACGGGUGCGUAACGCGUGGGAACCUGCCCUUAGGUUCGGAAUAACUCAGAGAAAUUUGAGCUAAUACCGGAUAAUGUCUUCGGACCAAAGAUUUAUCGCCUUUGGAUGGGCCCGCGUUGGAUUAGCUAGUUGGUGGGGUAAAGGCCUACCAAGGCGACGAUCCAUAGCUGGUCUGAGAGGAUGAUCAGCCACACUGGGACUGAGACACGGCCCAGACUCCUACGGGAGGAAGCAGUGGGGAAUAUUGGACAAUGGGCGAAAGCCUGAUCCAGCAAUGCCGCGUGAGUGAUGAAGGCCUUAGGGUUGUAAAGCUCUUUUACCCGGGAUGAUAAUGACAGUACCGGGAGAAUAAGCCCCGGCUAACUCCGUG